CUAUGGUUCAACCUAUAUACUUUAGAGAGGGAGACUUUUCUACUGAACAAAGAAUCUCCAACCAAACUCAGUCUCUCCAGAGAUCAGUCUCUCCAGUACCCAGUCAUCUGUCCAUGAAGAGUGACUUCUCUAUGGAACGUCCCAUUUAUUUUAGUGAUGGAUCAGGGACCUUUGACCCCAGAAUCUCCAACCAAACUCAGUCUCUCCAGAGAUCAGUCUCUCCAGUACCCAGUCAUCUGUCCAUGAAGAGUGACUUCUCUAUGGAACGUCCCAUUUAUUUUAGUGAUG